UGGGGAAUUUUGCACAAUGGGGGAAACCCUGAUGCAGCGACGCCGCGUGAUUUAGAAGGCCUUCGGGUUGUAAAAAUCUUUUCUACGGGAAGAAAAUGACAGUACCAUAGGAAUAAGGACCGGCUAAUUACGUGCCAGCAGCCGCGGUAAUACGUAAGGUCCGAGCGUAGUCCGGAAUCAUUGGGCGUAAAGGGUACGUAGGCGGGUAAGCAAGUUAGAAGUGAAAUCCUAUAGCUCAACUAUAGUAAGCUUUUAAAACUGCUCAUCUUGAGGUAUGGAAGGGAAGGUGGAAUUCCUAGUGUAGCGGUGAAAUGCGCAGAAAUUAGGAGGAAUACCGGGGGCGAAGGCGACUUUCUGGCCAUAACCUGACGCUGAGGUACGAAAGCGUGGGUAGCAAACAGG
rnacentral:rRNA from 1 species